GACGAACGCUGGCGGCGUGCUUAACACAUGCAAGUCGAACGAUGAAGCCCUUUCGGGGGUGGAUUAGUGGCGAACGGGUGAGUAACACGUGGGUAACCUGCCCUGUACCCUGGGAUAAGCCUUGGAAACGAGGUCUAAUACCGGAUAUGACCUGCUCUCGCAUGGGGGGUGGGUGGAAAGUUUUGGCGGUGCAGGAUGGACCCGCGGCCUAUCAGCUUGGUUGGUGGGGUGAUGGCCUACCAAGGCGACGAUCCGUAACUGGUCUGAGAGGACGACCAGUCACACCGGAACUGAGACACGGUCCGGACUCCUACGGGAGGCAGCAGUGGGGAAUAUUGGACAAUGGGACGAAAGCCUGAUCCAGCGACGCCGCGUGGGUGAAGAAGG
rnacentral:rRNA from 1 species